UUCAGGGAAUGUUCUUUAAGGACAGUAAUACCAUGGCAUUUUAUAAUAUACUUAGUGGUGCAACAAUACAUCUACAAAUAAAAGAACGUGGUGGGCGGAAAAAAUAAAUAACUCCGAUCCUCGAUAUAUGUAUACCGCAGCGGGCAAAUAAUUAAAGAUAAGGUUUGGUUGUUUUCGUAUUACACAUCGUACUACGUUUUUGAAAUGUAUUGCAACAGGAAAACUCGUUCUCAAGACACAACCGGACAACCCAAAUUUGCAUACAUUCAUAUAGCAUCUGUCCAGGGACUGUUAAUUCAGCAAUAUUCGACAAACAGUUUAAGGAAUAUGUAUGCUAUUACAACAACAGAAAAAUCAGGAAACCCCGUCGGCCAAAGAAAACAACGUAUAAAGAAAGCUUUUGACCUAUUUGGUUGGCCACCUCUAUAAGUACAUACAUAUAGUACGUGCAAAUAAAAAUAAAACUAUGAUAAUAAAGUA